UACGGAGGGUGCAAGCGUUGUCCGGAUUUAUUGGGUUUAAAGGGUGCGUAGGCGGCUAUUUAAGUCAGUAGUGAAAUCCUGCAGCUCAACUGUAGAACAGCCAUUGAUACUGAAUAGCUUGAGUACAGACGAGGUAGGCGGAAUUUAUGGUGUAGCGGUGAAAUGCAUAGAUACCAUAAAGAACCCCUAUUGCGAAGGCAGCUUACUAGGCUGUAACUGACGCUGAGGCACGAAAGCGUGGGGAGCAAACAGG
rnacentral:rRNA from 1 species